GGUCCCGUGGAGUAGUGGUUUAUCUCGUCUCCCUGUCACGGAGAAGAUCGCGAGUUCGAAUCUCGUCGGGACCGCCA
rnacentral:tRNA from 3 species